rnacentral:rRNA from 1 species
AUACGUAGGUGGCAAGCGUUGUCCGGAAUGAUUGGGCGUAAAGGGCGCGUAGGCGGCCCGGUAAGUCUGGAGUGAAAGUCCUGUUUUUAAGAUGGGAAUUGCUUUGGAUACUGUCGGGCUUGAGUGCAGGAGAGGUAAGUGGAAUUCCCAGUGUAGCGGUGAAAUGCGUAGAGAUUGGGAGGAACACCAGUGGCGAAGGCGACUUACUGGACUGUAACUGACGCUGAGGCGCGAAAGUGUGGGGAGCAAACAGGAUUAGAUACCCUGGUAGUCCACACUGUAAACGAUGAAUGCUAGGUGUAGGGGGUAUUGACCCCUUCUGUGCCGCAGUCAACACAAUAAGCAUUCCGCCUGGGGAGUACGGCCGCAAGGUUGAAACUCAAAGGAAUUGACGGGG